CAGUGGACUCAUCCAUAAAGUAGAAAGCACUACUAAACGCUUGUGUCCAAGUGUAGUGUUUCCUACUUUAUGGAUGAGUGUACUGU
rfam:Ophiophagus hannah scaffold1309.1, whole genome shotgun sequence.